CCUGGUUGAUCCUGCCAGUAGUCAUAUGCUUGUCUCAAAGAUUAAGCCAUGCAUGUGUAAGUACAGGCCGACUUAAGGCGAAACCGCGGACGGCUCAUUAAAUCAGAUAUAACUCAUUGGAUCUCUGCUGAACCGCAUUACUUGGAUAACUGUGGUAAUUCUAGAGCUAAUACAUGCCUUUGUAGUCUCCGACCGCGAGGGAGGAGCGCUUUUAUUAGACCAAAACCCUCGGCAGCCGGUUCCCGCAAGGGGCCGGCCGCACACAUCUUGGUGAAUCAGAAUAACUUUUGCCGAGCGCACGACCCCUCCCGUAACCCGGGUUGGGUCGGCGCCGCGUCCUGCAGGCGUCUGCCUUAUCAGCUCUCGAUUGUAGGUUAAACGCCUACAAUGGCUAUCACGGGUAACGGGGAAUCAGGGUUCGAUUCCGGAGAGGGAGCCUGAGAAACGGCUACCACAUCUAAGGAAGGCAGCAGGCGCGCAAAUUACCCACUCCCGGCACGGGGAGGUAGUGACGAAAAAUACUGUUGCGAGCCCCGAACGGGGCCUCGCAAUUGGAAUGAGUACACUUUAAAUCCUUGUACGAGGAUCGAGUGGAGGGCAAGUCUGGUGCCAGCCGCCGCGGUAAUUCCAGCUCCACUAGCGUAUAUUAAAGUUGUUGCGGUUGAAACGCUCGUAGUUUGACUUCUGCUCCGGACCGGCGGUCCGCCUUAGCGGCGGCUACUGCCGGGUUCCGAGCUGUGUCCCCGCCGGCGCACAUGGGGUUUUUAUGCCCUUAACCGGGUGUCCCCUUGUGGCCGGCACGUUUACUUUGAAAAAAUUAGAGUGCUCAGAGCAGGCUGGUUUUUGCUUACAGCCCGAAUGGUCGUGCAUGGAAUGAUGGAACAGGACCUCGGUUCUAUUUUGUCGGUUUUUCGGAACCCGAGGUAAUGAUUAAUAGAAGCAGACGGGGGCAUUCGUACUGCGACGCUAGAGGUGAAAUUCUUAGACCGUCGCAUGACGACCUACUGCGAAAGCAUCUGCCAAGGAUGUUUUCAUUGAUCAAGAACGAAAGUUAGAGGUUCGAAGGCGAUCAGAUACCGCCCUAGUUCUAACCUUAAACGAUGCUGACUAGCGAUCCGCCGCAGUUAUUCCCAUGACCCGGCGGGUAGCUUCCGGGAAACCAAAGUCUUUGAGUUCCGGGG
rnacentral:rRNA from 1 species